rnacentral:rRNA from 1 species
AGCAGCCGCGGUAAUUCCAGCUCCAAUAGCGUAUAUUAAAGUUGUUGCAGUUAAAAAGCUCGUAGUUGAAUUUCGGGAUUAAUUUAUUGGUCGUGCUAUUGUACGUACUGGUAUUAUUGAUUCCUACCUUCUGACGAACCAUGAUGUCAUUAAUUUGGUGUCUUGGGGAAUCAGGACUGUUACUUUGAAAAAAUUAGAGUGUUUAAAGCAGGCUCACGCUUGAAUACAUUAGCAUGGAAUAACGAAAUAGGACGUUUGAUUCUAUUUUGUUGGUUUCUAGGAUCGACGUAAUGAUUAAUAGGGAUAGUUGGGGGCAUUAGUAUUCAAUUGUCAGAGGUGAAAUUCUUGGAUUUAUUGAAGACUAACUACUGCGAAAGCAUUUGCCAAGGAUGUUUUCAUUAAUCAAGAACGAAAGUUAGGGGAUCGAAGACGAUCAGAUACCGUCGUAGUCUUAACCAUAAACUAUGCCGACUAGGGAUCGGAUGAUGUUGAUUUUUUAAUGACU